GACAGAGGUCUCAAGCGUUGUUCGGAUUCAUUGGGCGUAAAGGGUGCGUAGGUGGCGCUGUAAGUCGGGUGUGAAAUUUCGGAGCUUAACUCCGGAACUGCCUUCGAUACUGCGGGUCUCGGAGUCCGGGAGAGGUGAGUGGAAUUCCUAGUGUAGAGGUGAAAUUCGUAGAUAUUAGGAAGAACACCAGUGGCGAAGGCGGCUCACUGGCCCGGUACGUGACGCUGAGGGCGGCGAAA
rnacentral:rRNA from 1 species